UACGGAGGGAGCUAGCGUUGUUCGGAAUUACUGGGCGUAAAGCGCACGUAGGCGGCUAUUCAAGUCAGAGGUGAAAGCCCAGGGCUCAACCUUGGAAAUGGCAUUGGAAACUGCACAGCUAGAGGUUUGGAGGGGGGACUGGAAUUCUCGGUGUAGCAGUGAAAUGCGUUGAUAUCGAGAGGAACACCAGUGGCGAAGGCGAGUCCCUGGACAACACCUGACACUGAGGCACGAAAGCUAGGGGAGCAAACAGG
rnacentral:rRNA from 1 species